ensembl:lncRNA
AAGUGCCAAGUUCACAGACUUUUUUUGUUGUUGUUUGUUUAUUGUAAUUGCUUUUAUUUAUUUACUUAUUUUAUUUAUUUAUUUUGCCAACAUGUGCUAGACGAACAUUGGUGACUGCUGUGUCUCGCUGAUUUUUCUGUAUUUCAGGCUUUAAUGCCAGACUGUAUCAACUUUAAAAAGCAAGCUCUUAAAAAUGGAUCUUGGAACUCUGCAAUCUUUUCAAUUUCUUUCGCAUUUCAAAAAGGGGUUCUGUGUGAACAGGUUUGAUGGCAAGAAUUCAAAUGUUGUUUAUUAAUCCUCAAUACUUUGUCAUAGAUAUCUCAGGGCUGUAUCAAUCUGACUUUCUACCCUGCCCAAAAGUGACAAUAAAGGAUUUCAACGUUUCUUCUCAUUCAACUGCCCAGCAGGGAUCAUGUGCUACAAGAGCUCUUCCCACACCUCAAACAAUCUCAACAACUUCUACACCACAACCCACUGAGGGUGAAUGCCUAGACAUAUUUUGCAGUUCCAGUGCCAAGACUGUUUCCUCUCUGAUCCUCGUGGUGGUGUGCUUCCUUUUCUGGUGAAUCAAACAUGAGAAAUCACUAUUAACCACCACCCAGUGUCUGACUACACAAGAAUUCAAUGUCAGAGCAAUACAUCGAUCUUCAACCUUCUAUUAUAUAAUACAAUUAGUUUGAUACCAUUAGCUUAAUACCAUGUGCAUUUUUUUUUCUUACCAUGUGCAUUUUAAUUAAACUAACAUAUCUAUCUAUAUUCACAUAUCUGCAAUCAACAUGUUAAUCUUAGCUCUGAAUACAAUACUUACCAAUGUAAAUCUCUUUAAUGAUGUUUGACUGUCUUUAAAGGAUCAAUUAAAAAGUUUCAAUAGGUGAGGUGUUUUUUUAAGCCUGCACUUGUCAAGCACCACAAGUUGUGAGCUCAAGCCCUUGCCCUUUUUCAAAGUUAAUCAAAAGUUCCCCUCUCAAUAAUUAUCAUCUACAAUAUUGUGGUCAAUAAAACAUUUAGCAUUUGAAUUAAAAUAUGACA